GAUGAACGCUGGCGGCGUGCUUAACACAUGCAAGUCGAACGGGAAAUAUUUUAUUGAAACUUCGGUAGAUUUAAUUUAUUUCUAGUGGCGGACGGGUGAGUAACGCGUGGGUAACCUGCCUUAUACUGGGGGAUAACAGCCAGAAAUGGCUGCUAAUACCGCAUAAGCGCACAGGACCGCAUGGUCCGGUGUGAAAAACUCUGGUGGUAUAAGACGGACCCGCGUUGGAUUAGCUAGUUGGCAGGGCAGCGGCCUACCAAGGCGACGAUCCAUAGCCGGCCUGAGAGGGUGAACGGCCACAUUGGGACUGAGACACGGCCCAGACUCCUACGGGAGGCAGCAGUGGGGAAUAUUGCACAAUGGGGGAAACCCUGAUGCAGCGACGCCGCGUGAAGGAAGAAGUAUCUCGGUAUGUAAACUUCUAUCAGCAGGGAAGAUAAUGACGGUAC
rnacentral:rRNA from 1 species